rnacentral:rRNA from 2 species
GAGUUUGAUCCUGGCUCAGGAUGAACGCUAGCUACAGGCUUAACACAUGCAAGUCGAGGGGCAUCAGGAAGAAAGCUUGCUUUCUUUGCUGGCGACCGGCGCACGGGUGAGUAACACGUAUCCAACCUGCCCUUUACUCGGGGAUAGCCUUUCGAAAGAAAGAUUAAUACCCGAUAGCAUAAUGAUUCCGCAUGGUUUCAUUAUUAAAGGAUUCCGGUAAAGGAUGGGGAUGCGUUCCAUUAGGUUGUUGGUGAGGUAACGGCCCACCAAGCCUUCGAUGGAUAGGGGUUCUGAGAGGAAGGUCCCCCACAUUGGAACUGAGACACGGUCCAAACUCCUACGGGAGGCAGCAGUGAGGAAUAUUGGUCAAUGGGCGCUAGCCUGAACCAGCCAAGUAGCGUGAAGGAUGAAGGCUCUAUGGGUCGUAAACUUCUUUUAUAUAAGAAUAAAGUGCAGUAUGUAUACUGUUUUGUAUGUAUUAUAUGAAUAAGGAUCGGCUAACUCCGUGCCAGCAGCCGCGGUAAUACGGAGGAUCCGAGCGUUAUCCGGAUUUAUUGGGUUUAAAGGGAGCGUAGGUGGACUGGUAAGUCAGUUGUGAAAGUUUGCGGCUCAACCGUAAAAUUGCAGUUGAUACUGUCAGUCUUGAGUACAGUAGAGGUGGGCGGAAUUCGUGGUGUAGCGGUGAAAUGCUUAGAUAUCACGAAGAACUCCGAUUGCGAAGGCAGCUCACUGGACUGCAACUGACACUGAUGCUCGAAAGUGUGGGUAUCAAACAGGAUUAGAUACCCUGGUAGUCCACACAGUAAACGAUGAAUACUCGCUGUUUGCGAUAUACAGUAAGCGGCCAAGCGAAAGCAUUAAGUAUUCCACCUGGGGAGUACGCCGGCAACGGUGAAACUCAAAGGAAUUGACGGGGGCCCGCACAAGCGGAGGAACAUGUGGUUUAAUUCGAUGAUACGCGAGGAACCUUACCCGGGCUUAAAUUGCAGUGGAAUGAUGUGGAAACAUGUCAGUGAGCAAUCACCGCUGUGAAGGUGCUGCAUGGUUGUCGUCAGCUCGUGCCGUGAGGUGUCGGCUUAAGUGCCAUAACGAGCGCAACCCUUAUCUUCAGUUACUAACAGGUCAUGCUGAGGACUCUGGAGAGACUGCCGUCGUAAGAUGUGAGGAAGGUGGGGAUGACGUCAAAUCAGCACGGCCCUUACGUCCGGGGCUACACACGUGUUACAAUGGGGGGUACAGAAGGCAGCUAGCGGGUGACCGUAUGCUAAUCCCAAAAGCCUCUCUCAGUUCGGAUCGAAGUCUGCAACCCGACUUCGUGAAGCUGGAUUCGCUAGUAAUCGCGCAUCAGCCACGGCGCGGUGAAUACGUUCCCGGGCCUUGUACACACCGCCCGUCAAGCCAUGGGAGCCGGGGGUACCUGAAGUACGUAACCGCAAGGAUCGUCCUAGGGUAAAACUGGUGACUGGGGCUAAGUCGUAACAAGGUAGCCGUACCGGAAGGUGCGGCUGGAACACC